rnacentral:rRNA from 1 species
GUGCCAGCCGCCGCGGUAAUACGGAGGAUGCAAGCGUUAUCCGGAUUUAUUGGGUUUAAAGGGUGCGCAGGCGGGCCUUUAAGUCAGUGGUGAAAUCUUGCCGCUUAACGGUAAAAUUGCCAUUGAUACUGAAGGUCUUGAAUAUGGUUGAGGUAGGCGGAAUGUGUUGUGUAGCGGUGAAAUGCAUAGAUAUGACACAGAACGCCAAUUGCGAAGGCAGCUUACUAAGCCAUUAUUGGCGCUGAGGCACGAAAGCGUGGGUAGCGAACAGGAUUAGAUACCCGGGUAGUCCC